rnacentral:rRNA from 1 species
AUUAGGUCCUCUGGAUUGUAAACUUCUUUUAUAUGGGACGAAAAAAGGUCUUUCUAGACCCCUUGACGGUACCAUAUGAAUAAGCACCGGCUAACUCCGUGCCAGCAGCCGCGGUAAUACGGAGGGUGCAAGCGUUAUCCGGAUUCACUGGGUUUAAAGGGUGCGUAGGCGGGUAGGUAAGUCAGUGGUGAAAUCCUGGAGCUCAACUCCAGAACUGCCAUUGAUACUAUCUAUCUUGAAUAUUGUGGAGGUAAGCGGAAUAUGUCAUGUAGCGGUGAAAUGCUUAGAUAUGACAUAGAACACCCAUUGCGAAGGCAGCUUACUACGCAUAUAUUGACGC